UACGAAGGGUGCUAGCGUUGUUCGGAAUUACUGGGCGUAAAGCGCGCGUAGGCGGCCAUUCAAGUCAGGGGUGAAAGCCCGGAGCUUAACUCCGGAACUGCCUUUGAAACUGUAUGGCUUGAGUGUCGGAGGGGAUAGCGGAAUUGCUAAUGUAGAGGUGAAAUUCGUAGAUAUUAGCAGGAACACCGGUGGCGAAGGCGGCUAUCUGGACGACAACUGACGCUGAGGCGCGAAAGCGUGGGGAUCAAACAGG
rnacentral:rRNA from 1 species